UGUGUCAGAAGUUUUCAGAGUAUAAUGUCAGGAAAGUAGCCUCGCGCUGUGCUCCUUGUUCGCUGUGGAUCUCUCUACAGAGAGGCACGACAACACCGCCAUGCCUGGUGACGACCCAAGAGCACCUUCCUCAGGAACGUCGCAUCCAAGACUUGCGUGCCCGGCGAAGGCAGCAGUGUUACCACUGCAACGUGAAAGCACACUUCAGCGCCGUCUUCUGUCGCAAGGGCUUCACAUCCAGCAAGGACCACUGCGGCGCCAGGGUGGUUUCACUCGAGAGAUGACCUACCCUGGGGGCAACCCGCCACGGGGACCCGGCUACCCUCCACACGGCGACCAGCCCCCGCCACCAGUCAAACGAGUAGCCCAGGCUAACGCAGCGGCCCCAGCAACGCAAGACGGCCCACCGGGACGGGACCACGACCAUGGUGUGAAGCAACACGACCCCACAGUGUGCGCCCACAGGGGCUGGCGCACCCGUGCCCGACUGACGAGACCGCCUCCUGGAUACGCGUCGUGGUGGCCACCAACAUACCCGGCCCCGUCUCCGGUUCCCGCUACCGCCCAGGGUCCGGAGACCACGCGGCCACCGGCUCGAGAACCGUCGUGGUGGCCACCAACAUACCCGGCCCCGUCUCCGGUUCCCGCUACCGCCCAGGGUCCGGAGACCACGCGGCCACCGGCUCCAGAACGAAAGCGGCCGCGACAAAUGACUAAAGUGUGCGUGUAUUGCGUGCCGCUCGAGGAGUCGCCGCUGGCCGGCUCCGCCAGCACGAUGGCCGCAGCGGCAAGUGCCGUGCCCGGCCAUGACCUGGCCUACAGGCACUUUGCCGCCAGGUUCUUCUACCCGGGAAGCGUGGACCGUGUAGAAGUGUGCGAGGCCGGAGAUUCUGGCCGGAGAGCUGGCAACGAGAUUCCCAGAUCAUGGCCGGCAAUGUCGUCAAGGUCAGAAAUGCUUACAUUAUGGCGACACGCACAUUAGGAUACAUCCUCCCUACUGGAGCACUACUCGAAACUUUGAGAGUUUAAGCACAGUGUUGACUCCCGACAAAUGAAGGGAACGAAAACAGACGGGCCGCAGUUAAGCUUUGGCAUUUGCUUCGUUUGCUUCGAGCGAGCAACCGAGAAAAAGGCGAGCAACAUGUAGUCGCGGUCCGGAAAGUAUAAGGAGCCCGGUCGACAAUGUAGGGAAACACGACAUUCGUACUUCCGUGAAGUGCAGAUUUCUAAAUUCUGUGAUUCCAGUAGCCCAUAAUUCAGUAGCCCAUAAUUAUUUGUACAGUCAGGCUGAUUUUAUUCCAUUACACGAACCUUAGAGUGCAUAAAUUAAAAUGCAGAUACAACUGGCAUGACGCAGUAUCCGAAACCUCCAUCUGGCUGUUAUUGUCGAGCACAUGCAUACUGCAGAGAUUUAAGGUAUGUCUAACAUAUUAUAUUUUAGCAGGACCCGAAAGGACAAACUGCGGAGACACCAACCAAAACAAUUCUAACAUGUUCGCGCUAAGCCCACCUGCCGUCAUUACCCCACGCACCACCCCAACUUGUGGUGCAACUAAUUCGCUCAUAGUUAAGAGCUCUCCUAUGCACAUCUGGAAUUGUUGAGAGGGCUCCAAUAUUGUGUGAAAUCUCCUCGAGCCGCAGUGACUGGCGUCGUUCUUCGCCGCAAGCUUUCAAAGCGCCGCAUGGCUAUAUCGGAGCUCCGUAUAGGCGCUCCCACUCUUGCUGAACAGCUCCCACAGUGCUGACUCUACACAGUGCAUCGUGCAAGCCCCUCUAGCGGUCGACAGGAGAGGGCUUUUUUCGUUGCGCCACAGAUAUUCUUGCAUAGGUUCAUGUUGGCUCUGAGUGGGCCAAUCAAGGAGCAUCAGGACCAGUUCUUCCGUCAGUUUCCUUACUGAUCGGGCCAUGCGUAUGGGGCUGCGAUCAUGUCGCAGGUAAAAUAGGCCAUCUGAGAAGGGGCUUUCAAGAGAGUACGGAACGCCAUCGUCCUCAUAGACCCUGCGAUACACUUCGGCGGUGAAGUGGCCUUCUAGGCAGAUGAGUGGACCUAGGCCAUCCUUGGAAAGGGCUCCCCGGACGCUGACAGCGCACCGGCCACUAAGUUACGUGGCUCCACCUAGCGAAAGAAGAUUGUUAGGCGCAUUGGGUAGCGUUAGCAGUUGCCUUGCAGGUGGAGACACCUGAUACGGAAAAACGGCACCCUAUUCCAAAUAAUGAGGGGCGAUUCGUCUGUUUAUUUCGACUUAGGAAGCAACUGGAACUAUUUUACGUUAGGAUAAUUUGUUGGAAGUAAUUAGGGUAUUAUCUCGGCGCACAAGACUACAAAUGUAUCUGGUGUCUUUUGUUCCGCACAUACGCUGGUGCUGGUCUCAUCGCGAGGAAAAUGCGCAUUGGUCUGUCAACAUGACGUAACUCCAGUCCGUAGCCGUCCACGACAGAUGCUCUUCAGCAAAUAAAAACCGUGCGCGCCUGUUUCCCGCCAAGAGCAGAAGUUUUUGGGCAGGCAACCUAUUUCGGAGGUUUCCUUCGUGCAACUGUCUUCGUACGGUUUUUGAGCUAGCGUCCGCACCAAGUUCGUCCGCUAUUUUCCUCGACGUGAAAAAUUACUUAAAUUGCGCAUGCCAUAAUUUGAAGAACCCGGUCCUCCGUCGUGGCUCGACGGCUGUUUCCACGAGAUAGAUUUCCAAGCCGUCGCUCGUCACGGUAUGCCUGCAGGUAUGCCUGCAGUAUCCGGUUAACAGUUCACAGCUGGCGGCCUUUAUUGCUGGCAAGGCCACGCGUCGGCAACCGCGUCGUGGUGGCCACCAACAUACCCGGCCCCGUCUCCGGUUCCCGCUACCGCCCAGGGUCCGGAGACCACGCGGCCACCGGCU